rnacentral:rRNA from 1 species
UAGGGAAUCUUCGGCAAUGGGGGGAACCCUGACCGAGCAACGCCGCGUGAGUGAAGAAGGUUUUCGGAUCGUAAAGCUCUUUUGUUAAGGAAGAACGAGUGUGAGAAUGGAAAGUUCAUACUGUGACGGUACUUAACCAGAAAGGGACGGCUAACUACGUGCCAGCAGCCGCGGUAAUACGUAGGUCCCGAGCGUUGUCCGGAUUUAUUGGGCGUAAAGCGAGCGCAGGCGGUCAAUUAAGUCUGAUGUGAAAGCCCCCGGCUCAACCGGGGAAGGUCAUUGGAAACUGGUUGACUUGAGUGCAGAAGAGGGGAGUAGAAUUCCAUGUGUAGCGGUGAAAUGCGUAGAUAUAUGGAGGAACACCAGUGGCGAAGGCGACUCUCUGGUCUGUAACUGACGCUGAGGCUCGAAAGCGUGGGGAGCGAACAGG